UAACUUCGGGAAACCGGAGCUAAUACCGGAUAAUAUAUUGAACCGCAUGGUUCAAUAGUGAAAGACGGUUUUGCUGUCACUUAUAGAUGGAUCCGCGCCGCAUUAGCUAGUUGGUAAGGUAACGGCUUACCAAGGCAGCGAUGCGUAGCCGACCUGAGAGGGUGAUCGGCCACACUGGAACUGAGACACGGUCCAGACUCCUACGGGAGGCAGCAGC
rnacentral:rRNA from 1 species